rnacentral:rRNA from 1 species
CCUACGGGUGGCAGCAGUGAGGAAUAUUGGUCAAUGGCCGCAGGGCUGAACCAGCCAAGUCGCGUGAGGGAUGACGGUCCUAUGGAUUGUAAACCUCUUUUGUCAGGGAGCAAAGGGCGCCACGUGUGGCGCUUUGCGAGUACCUGAAGAAAAAGCAUCGGCUAACUCCGUGCCAGCAGCCGCGGUAAUACGGAGGAUGCGAGCGUUAUCCGGAUUUAGUGGGUUUAAAGUGUGCGCAGGCGGAAUGGCAAGUCAGCGGUAAAAUUUCGGGGCUCAACCCCGUCGGGCCGUUGAAACUGGCGUUCUUGAGUGAGCGAGAAGUAUGCGGAAUGCGUGGUGUAGCGGUGAAAUGCAUAGAUAUCACGCAGAACUCCGAUUGCGAAGGCAGCAUACCGGCGCUCAACUGACGCUCAUGAACGAAAGCGUGGGUAUCGAACAGGAUUAGAUACCCUUGUAGUC